GUGGGGAAUAUUGGACAAUGGGCGAAAGCCUGAUCCAGCCAUGACGCGUGUGUGAAGAAGGUCUUCGGAUUGUAAAGCACUUUAAGUUGGGAGGAAGGGCAGUAAGUUAAUACCUUGCUGUUUUGACGUUACCGACAGAAUAAGCACCGGCUAACUUCGUGCCAGCAGCCGCGGUAAUACGAAGGGUGCAAGCGUUAAUCGGAAUUACUGGGCGUAAAGCGCGCGUAGGUGGUUUUGUAAGUUGGAGGUGAAAUCCCCGGGCUCAACCUGGGAACUGCCUCCAAAACUGCAUGACUAGAGUACGGUAGAGGGUAGUGGAAUUUCCUGUGUAGCGGUGAAAUGCGUAGAUAUAGGAAGGAACACCAGUGGCGAAGGCGACUACCUGGACUGAUACUGACACUGAGGUGCGAAAGCGUGGGGAGCAAACAGGAUUAGAUACCCCGGUAGUCC
rnacentral:rRNA from 1 species